AGAAAACAAAUCUGAGACAACACCUGAUAAGCCAACCCAAUGCCUAAGACGUUCAAUAAAAUCACAUGGUCUACUGAUUCAAAAGCAGCAGUAAGGUCUAAAAGCAAAAAAACACAUGUUAGGCCGUGUAAGAAAAAAUUGAGGGAGUGACUUGUGCAUCAUAGAUCAUGGUUCAUGAAAGUGAGGUAAUAAACAAAAUAUAGGACGGGUAGAUCAACUCCCAGGUCACCUCCCUGAUGGACUGCACCAAUUGGUAGGUUGGUAAGAAAUUUCCUUUUUUUUUAAUGGCUUUCGACGACUAAUAAGCACAAGGGAUUCUUAAUAUGCCUUGAUUGGUCAAAUCACAAAUUCCUGGUGCCACCUUUUCACACUCAGACCAACUGCCCUGGAUAGCUGCUACUGCAGUGCUAGCCGCGGGUCUGCUGUUUGCAACAGUGUGUGCCGUGAGAGCUUGGAAGAUGGCCAACCAAACAAGACUUGGCAGUGAUGCUCUACUCAACAAAGCUCCACCCAACCAAGGGAACUCCAAGGUGUUCUUCAGAAGUGGGGAGGACAUCUAUGCUAACAUUGAUACACUGAUGAACACGGUCGGACCGAGACAGGAUCCUGUUGGAGCAGGAGAAGAGGCUGCUGGAUUGGGAGAAGGGGCUGUUGGACUGGGAGAAGGGGCUGUUGGACUGGGAGAAGGGGCUGUUGGACUGGGAGAAGGGGCCGACUGUGAUGUGGUGUACACAACAGUGAAAUGGAAGAAGAAGUCCAAGAAAAAAGAGGUCUGAGCUCCUGGGGCAGAGACCCUCUGGGGCCCAGGGCCCCGGAGGCCCCUACACUUCCUCUGGGGUGGAUGAGGGAUGAGCUAAGGGCUGGAGGGAUGAGUUAAGGGCUACAUUGAUGGGUAAAGGCUAGAGGGAUGAGUUAAGGGCUACAUUGAUGAGUAAAGGCUAGAGGGAUGAGUUAAGGGCUACAUUGAUGGGUAAAGGCUAGAGGGAUGAGUUAAGGGCUACAGGGAUGAGUUAAUGUUAGAGGGCUGAGUUAAGGGCUACAUUGAUGGGUAAAGGCUUGAGGGAGGAGUUAUGGGCUACCUGGAUGAGUUAAGGGAUGUAGGGAUGAGUUAAGGGCUAGAGGGAUGAGUACGGGGCUAGGCCAGGGGCCGUAUUCCCAAAGAAUCGUAGGGUUAAUAGUUAGGGUUAGUGGCUGAUUUAGGAGAAACCCUUAAGAAUAAUGGGUGUGUCAGUCUUAAAUGUUGGACUCCUAAUUGAUUUAAAUUAGAGCAAUUCACAAAGUAUUAUGGGCCCAAAAGUAGAAACCAAGUCUAGGAGAGCUUAAAAGUCCUCGAGAGGACUCCUAACUCAGUAAGACCUAUUCACAAAGAAUCAGAAAAUGGCUGCAGCGAGACAAUUUUUUUUUGAGAUAAUAGAGGACUUCGAAUUGAUAAAGAGAUAUAGGCGUAAGGGUAUCAAACUUGUGGUUGAAUUUGUGAAUAACACCUCAACAUUUAGCAACAGGGAAAAUGCAUCUGUUAAGGGAAACGUAUAAAUAUGUCCUCAGUUGUUGUAUAUAUAUGUAUAUAUAUAGUGUUGAUUCUGUACCCAAGUCCACAGAUUAUUGAACCACUGUGGGGAGCUGGGUAAAUAUGCAGGCUUGCGUCAUAUGUAAAUGAAGGUGCGUUCACAUCAAGCACAUGUUCAGGAUGUAUAAUGCAGUUCUAAGAGAGCUCGGCCGAGCGUAACAUGCAUAAAUGGUAUUGAGAAAAUAUAUCAUAAACCAUGCCCAAGAGCUAAAGAGU